rnacentral:rRNA from 1 species
UACGUAGGUGACCAGCGUUGUCCGGAUUUACUGGGCGUAAAGAGCGCGCAGGCGGUCGUUCAAGUCGAGUGUGAAAGCCCCCGGCUCAACUGGGGAGGGUCACUCGAUACUGAUCGACUUGAAGGCAGGAGAGGGAAGCGGAAUUCCCGGUGUAGUGGUGAAAUGCGUAGAUAUCGGGAGGAACACCUGUGGCGAAAGCGGCUCACUGGACCACAACUGACGCUGAUGCACGAAAGCUAGGGGAGCAAACAGG